CCCAUGGUUGUGAAAUCAGAAUACAGGACAUAAUGGAGCCAAAGUCAUGUUCUAAGGAAGGAUUCAAGGAACUGGACACCUUUGGAGGAGAGUAUUCAGGAUAUGAAUUUCUAGAGUCUCCCUCUACUUGUUGGGUUUGAAGAAGCAAGAGUCCAUGAUAUCUAUGACUACAGGAACAUGAAUUCUUCCAGCAAACCAAGGGAGCCUGAAGGGGGUCCUUUCCUAGGGCAGCUGUCACAUGAAGAGCCAGGCCUGGGUGAUAGUUGACCAUGGCCUUACAAGGGACUCAGUUAAACUGGACUACCUGGACUCUUCAUCCACAGAAACUGUGAGGCUCUGACAAAGCUUGGCGUGGCACUGCCAUAGGCCCUUCUGGAGGAAACUGCUAGCAGACAAACUUGUCAGUCAAGAUGUGACAUGGGUGACACUAGCAGAGGGGCUGCAUGUGAGUACUGGGUAUAUUUAACAGUAUAAUUAAGACAAACAUGGAGUUAGGAUGACAGAAAAAAUGUAAAAAUAUUCCUAUUAUAGUUAAAUAAUUUAUUUAGGAACAGUCAGAUCAAGAAAGAAACAUGAAGUACAAUGUUGGGAUACAUCGAAAAUGUUAACCUAUAAAUACAACAUGUCAGAACAUAUGGGAUAUACAUAAAGCAAUUCUCAGAG
rnacentral:lncRNA from 1 species